UUAUAAAUGGUUUAUGUUUAACCAUAAACACUAAUGUUUCGUUUGGUUCAAUGUAAUGGCUUUUGCCAUUACAGGACAAUUCCAAUUUCUACAGUAAAGCAGAGGUUUGGUUCAUUGGAAAGCUUAAAAAGCAAAAUGGUGAUUACAGCUUCAUUUCGAAAAUUGUCGAAUAGCCAUUCAGGGGAGGAGGUGCCAAAUUGGUUAUUCCAGCCUCUCCACAGAAUGACCCUUCUUUUCCCUUCCGAAAACACCCUCAGUCUGAAAUUGCUCAAUGGUUUCACUUUUUUUUUUCUUUCCCAUAAACAAUAUCACGCUCAAAUCAACAUGAAAGGAAGCAAAUCAACUUAAAGGCCAAGGACCCACACUUUGUUUACCACUCGUAAGCGAUUCCAACCCAUCACUGGAAUCGCCUGGUGCUUAGCAAGGCCCUGCUUGUUUUGAUGGUUCAAAACGAAGUAGCUUUUUCAUUAGGUCAUGGGCUUUCAAUUUGCAGAACUCCCUAUGUUAAAUGUUCACAAAAGCUAGGUGAACAAUCGCUAAGCACUUCCAGAGUAGUUGAAAAGAAACCAGUGAAGAAGGUUGGAAAGAACGAGCAUCACUUGUAGAAGAAAAGAGAUUCAGCUAGCUCUAGACAAAAGGCACUCAAUAUUGUUAGAAUUAUGCAAUAUGCAAAGAUAAAGUCAGAUUGUAUCGCCGAAAAUGAUAGAAACUUUGUUCCUAGAGAAAAUAAGAAGAAGCAAGAAGAAAAAGAUUUCAUGAAGUCGCUGAUACUCAAGUGACAAAGUGGAUAUUGAGCAAAGGACAAUGAGCUAUGAUGGGAACAUAUGACACCCUUCUACUUGCAUUUGAUAUAGAUAACAGAGUGGAUGAGGCUGGAUCAUUGUGGAACAUGGUUUUACAUACACACAAUCGUUCUAUCUCAAAGCGGUUUUUUUCUAGGAACUAUAGGUCCAUACAACUAUAGGACUGCUUCAAUUAUCUCCUUUUUAUAUUUAUGCUCAAGCAGCUCUAGAAUGCUCUCUUUUAACAGUUGAAUGAUUCAAUGAGCUCGUGGGAAGCCCAUAUUACAUGGCUCUAGAGGUUCUUAAACAUAAUUAUGACCCAGAGGUUGGUGUAUAGAGUGCUGGAGUUAUCAUCUAUAUUUUACUUUGUGGUGUGCCGCAAUUCUAGAUAGAGACUGAGCAAAGGGUGGCACAAGCAAUUAUUCGCUCUGCUAUUGACUUUAAGAGGGACCCAUGGCCUAAGGUUUCGGACAAUACAAAGGCCCUUGUAAAGAAAAUGCUUAAUCUUGAUCGAAAGCAGCUUCUUACAGCACAAGAAGUGCUUGAACAUUCAUGGCUACAAAAUGCCAAGAAAGCACCCAAUGUUCCAUUGGGUGAGACUAUGAAAGCUAGGCUCAAACAAUUUUCUGUAACGAACAAGGUGAGAAGAGAGCUCUAAGGGUAAUAAUCCAAAUAACUAUUGUAGUUUAUUUGCUUUUAAGUUGCAUGGACCUAUAGUUUCUACAUUUAAGACAAGCAGAAGUUUUUUCUUAAAAGAUACAUAAGCAAAUGGAUAUAUACAUCCACUUUAAUGGCGAACGGGUUAGAGUGAAAAGAUAUACAUCAGAUGAAGAUUGAUGUUCAAUUUAGUGAGUGCAUUCUCUUGGCAUCAAUGGCAUAAUAUGAGUAUGUAUUUGUUGAACUGGACCUUGCCAAUCAAGUAUUGCAUCAACAAGGCAUCUUAUUCACUUUCCUUGAGAUAGGCUGCAUACACUUGAAUGCUAUAUGAAUAGUUUAUCAUUUCUAGGGGGUUGUUCCCUGUAUAUAGUUGUAGCUUGGAUGUUGCAAACCUCUUCUUUAAUUUCUGGGGAUAUAUAUGCUGUGAAAGUGCCAAAGGGUUUUUACUGUUAAUGUAGGAUGUUUUAAGAUUUUGUCCUUAUAAAACUCUUAUGUCUCCAAAUCAUCAUUUAUUCAAUUGAAAUAUUAAAUAGUUUUUUGAAGAA